UCUUAUCAAGAGUGAUGGAGGGAUCAGGCCCUAUGAAAUCCGGCAACCAGGCUUUUGCUAUGGUGCUAAAUCCUGCAAGAAGAAUCUUGAAAGAUGAGA
rnacentral:ncRNA from 1 species